GCAUUCUCAAUGUUUCUCGGCUGCCUCGUGGUCAGGAAGUCGUGGAGGGAGACUAGUGCCUAGUGUUUGCGGAACCUGAAAACUUCCUUAAGCUGCAGUUGCUGUGCUGGCCUCCUAGGAUAUUCAGCAGCUGGUCCUGUCACCUGCCAGGUCUCCAUAUGCUCAGUCAAAUCUCCAUAACUGUAAAUCAACACUAAGAGCACUAGAAGGUUAAAGGUCAAGGAGACUCUCACAAAGGAUCCAGAUAUGUUAGAGACCUUGAUGUGAAAUUUCAAGAAGAAUUCAAACUUUGUUCUUCACUGGACCCUGGGAGAAGGACCACAACAAGAAUGAGUGUGUGUCUGGUAAAUACACCACAGGGUCUGUUAACUUUCAAGGACGUGGCCUUGGACUUCUCACUGGAGGAAUGGGAAUGUCUCAGUUUUGCUCAGAGGACACUGUACAUGGAUGUGAUGUUGGAGAAUUACAACAAUCUGUUGUUUGUGGAAAAUUAUUGCAUACGUGGAAAGAAUGGGAAGGUAUUGGAUCAAGACAGCCAGUACAUUGUCCAUGAACACAUGAAUAUUCAAGAGAAGUCUUCUAAAUGGGACAAGCUUAGCAAUGUCAUUCUUGAAUCCCUCCAGUGUACACCUUACAAAACUAAUCACAGCUCUGAUGCUCUUCAAUUCUCGAACCAAAAAAGACUUAAGCCCAGGAACACUAAAGAAGUUUGCAAAUACAAUCACUUUGUAAACAGUUUAAGUUUGUUUUCUACCAUUAGUCUCAAUCAAGGAAUUAACAUGCAGAAGAAAAAACACAACCGAAAUGCAGAAUUAGAGAAGGUUUUUGUUUCUAAACAUAAAGUCGUGGUGAAAAAAAACAAUAUUGCAGGGAACCCUUACAAAUGUAGUGAAUUUCACAAAUAUCUUACCCAGAGAGAAAAACUACAAAGUCAGCAGAGAAUUUAUCAUGGAAAGAAACCUUAUGAAAGUAGUAAAAGUGACAAAUGCUUUACCCAUCAGAUCCAUCUUAGUAUUCAUCAGGGAAUUCAUACAGAAGAGAAAAUUUACAAAUGUAGUGAAUGUGACAAAUGUUUUAAACACAAAUUCAAUCUUACUAUGCAUCAGAGAAUUCAUACAGGAGAGACACCUAACAAAUGCAGUGAAUGUGACAAAUGCUUUACUAAAAAAAGCAGUCUGAGGAUUCAUCAGAGAAUUCAUACAGGAGAGAAACCUUACAAAUGCAGUGAAUGUGACAAAUGCUUUACCCAACAAUCCAAUCUUAGUAUUCAUCAGAGAAUUCAUACAGGAGAGAAACCUUACAAAUGCAGGGAAUGUGACAAAUGCUUUACUGGAAAAGGCAGUCUGAGAAUUCAUCAGAGAAUUCAUACAGGAGAGAAACCUUACAAAUGCAGUGAAUGUGGCAAAUGCUUUACUGAAAAAAGCAGUCUGAGAAUUCAUCAGAGAAUU